AGCAGCCGCGGUAAUUCCAGCUCCAAUAGCGUAUAUUAAAGUUGUUGCAGUUAAAAAGCUCGUAGUUGAAUUUCGGGAUCAAUACGUCGGUCGUGCUUAGGUACGUACUGGCGUAAUUGAUUUCUCCCUUCUGACGAACCAUGAUGUCAUUAACUUGGUGUCAUGGGAAAUCAGGACUGUUACUUUAGAAAAAAUUAGAGUGUUUAAAGCAGGCUCACGCUUGAAUACAUUAGCAUGGAAUAAUGAAAUAGGACGUUCGAUCCUAUUUUGUUGGUUUUUAGGUAUCAACGUAAUGAUUAAUAGGGAUAGUUGGGGGCAUUAGUAUUCAAUUGUCAGAGGUGAAAUUCUUGGAUUUAUUGAAGACUAACUACUGCGAAAGCAUUUGCCAAGGAUGUUUUCAUUAAUCAAGAACGAAAGUUAGGGGGUCGAAGACGAUCAGAUACCGUCGUAGUCUUAACCAUAAACUAUGCCGACUAGGGAUCGGAUGAUGUUAAUUUUUUAANGUACUCAUUCGGCGUCC
rnacentral:rRNA from 1 species